rnacentral:rRNA from 1 species
GACGAUCGCUGGCGGCGUGCCUAAUACAUGCAAGUAGAACGCACAGUUUAUACCGUAGCUUGCUACACCAUAGACUGUGAGUUGCGAACGGGUGAGUAACGCGUAGGUAACCUGCCUGGUAGCGGGGGAUAACUAUUGGAAACGAUAGCUAAUACCGCAUAAUAUUAAUUAUUGCAUGAUAAUUAAUUGAACGGUGCAAUUGCACCACUACCAGAUGGACCUGCGUUGUAUUAGCUAGUAGGUGAGGUAACGGCUCACCUAGGCGACGAUACAUAGCCGACCUGAGAGGGUGAUCGGCCACACUGGGACUGAGACACGGCCCAGACUCCUACGGGAGGCAGCAGUAGGGAAUCUUCGGCAAUAGACGAAAGUCUGACCGAGCAACGCCGCGUGAGUGAAGAAGGUUUUCGGAUCGUAAAGCUCUGUUGUAAGAGAAGAACGGGUGUGAGAGUGGAAAGUUCACACUGUGACGGUAUCUUACCAGAAAGGGACGGCUAACUACGUG